GAUGAACGCUGGCGGCGUGCCUAAUACAUGCAAGUCGAGCGAACAGACGAGGAGCUUGCUCCUCUGACGUUAGCGGCGGACGGGUGAGUAACACGUGGAUAACCUACCUAUAAGACUGGGAUAACUUCGGGAAACCGGAGCUAAUACCGGAUAAUAUAUUGAACCGCAUGGUUCAAUAGUGAAAGACGGUUUUGCUGUCACUUAUAGAUGGAUCCGCGCCGCAUUAGCUAGUUGGUAAGGUAACGGCUUACCAAGGCAACGAUGCGUAGCCGACCUGAGAGGGUGAUCGGCCACACUGGAACUGAGACACGGUCCAGACUCCUACGGGAGGCAGCAGUAGGGAAUCUUCCGCAAUGGGCGAAAGCCUGACGGAGCAACGCCGCGUGAGUGAUGAAGGUCUUCGGAUCGUAAAACUCUGUUAUUAGGGAAGAACAAAUGUGUAAGUAACGAUGCACGUCUUGACGGUACCUAAUCAGAAAACCACGGCUACUACGUG
rnacentral:rRNA from 1 species